CCUGGCUCAGGAUGAACGCUAGCUACAGGCUUAACACAUGCAAGUCGAGGGGCAGCAUGGUCUUAGCUUGCUAAGGCCGAUGGCGACCGGCGCACGGGUGAGUAACACGUAUCCAACCUGCCGUCUACUCUUGGACAGCCUUCUGAAAGGAAGAUUAAUACAAGAUGGCAUCAUGAGUCCGCAUGUUCACAUGAUUAAAGGUAUUCCGGUAGACGAUGGGGAUGCGUUCCAUUAGAUAGUAGGCGGGGUAACGGCCCACCUAGUCUUCGAUGGAUAGGGGUUCUGAGAGGAAGGUCCCCCACAUUGGAACUGAGACACGGUCCAAACUCCUACGGGAGGCAGCAGUGAGGAAUAUUGGUCAAUGGGCGAGAGCCUGAACCAGCCAAGUAGCGUGAAGGAUGACUGCCCUAUGGGUUGUAAACUUCUUUUAUAAAGGAAUAAAGUCGGGUAUGCAUACCCGUUUGCAUGUACUUUAUGAAUAAGGAUCGGCUAACUCCGUGCCAGCAGCCGCGGUAAUACGGAGGAUCCGAGCGUUAUCCGGAUUUAUUGGGUUUAAAGGGAGCGUAGAUGGAUGUUUAAGUCAGUUGUGAAAGUUUGCGGCUCAACCGUAAAAUUGCAGUUGAUACUGGAUAUCUUGAGUGCAGUUGAGGCAGGCGGAAUUCGUGGUGUAGCGGUGAAAUGCUUAGAUAUCACGAAGAACUCCGAUUGCGAAGGCAGCCUGCUAAGCUGCAACUGACAUUGAGGCUCGAAAGUGUGGGUAUCAAACAGGAUUAGAUACCCUGGUAGUCCACACGGUAAACGAUGAAUACUCGCUGUUUGCGAUAUACAGCAAGCGGCCAAGCGAAAGCGUUAAGUAUUCCACCUGGGGAGUACGCCGGCAACGGUGAAACUCAAAGGAAUUGACGGGGGCCCGCACAAGCGGAGGAACAUGUGGUUUAAUUCGAUGAUACGCGAGGAACCUUACCCGGGCUUAAAUUGCAGAUGAAUUACGGUGAAAGCCGUAAGCCGCAAGGCAUCUGUGAAGGUGCUGCAUGGUUGUCGUCAGCUCGUGCCGUGAGGUGUCGGCUUAAGUGCCAUAACGAGCGCAACCCUUGUUGUCAGUUACUAACAGGUUCCGCUGAGGACUCUGACAAGACUGCCAUCGUAAGAUGUGAGGAAGGUGGGGAUGACGUCAAAUCAGCACGGCCCUUACGUCCGGGGCUACACACGUGUUACAAUGGGGGGUACAGAGGGCCGCUACCACGCGAGUGGAUGCCAAUCCCCAAAACCUCUCUCAGUUCGGACUGGAGUCUGCAACCCGACUCCACGAAGCUGGAUUCGCUAGUAAUCGCGCAUCAGCCACGGCGCGGUGAAUACGUUCCCAGGCCUUGUACACACCGCCC
rnacentral:rRNA from 1 species